rnacentral:lncRNA from 1 species
ACAUCGACGUGGGGGCUGGGGCUAGGGGUGAAGUCCGGGGUCCGGGUUAUCAAGGAGGUGGAACCCACGCGGAUCGGUGGGGCUACUCGGGUUGGAAUUGUGUGUGCCGCUCUGGAGUCCUUAAAUGCCGCCAGCAGCGUGACCCACUCUCGGAAGCUGCCGGCUUCGAGUCUCAGCCAGUUUUCCAGACUCUAUCCCGAGAGGAUCGGUUUUCCAGGGCUCCCCGGAGCGUGGGCGGAGGAGCAGCGCGAAGCUCGCAGGUUCCCACGGGGCGACUUGCGAAGCCCAGGUGUCCUCGCACUGUACCGGAUGUUUGCUCUCAGAAGCGUUCUGCGGUUUAAGAAUUACUUGGGAGAGCUUUAAAAGCUCUGUGUGUACAAUGUCGGAGCCGUGCGAUUGUGUUCAGAAAAAGAUAUUAAGAUUUUUAAAUAUCAUUAAUCGCCAUUGGCUGGAGAAGACGUAACCCUGUCGCCCAAGGUCACACAGCUGGCUUGUGGCCUGGAGCAUCAAAAGUCUUAGUUACUCGCUUUCAGCCAUUCUGAAAAAGUAGGUUAGGGUCAGAUCCUUAGUCCAGGCCGGCAGACUUAGGACUGUUUGGAAACAGAGGCAGCACCAAUCUCUGACCCCACCCGAACAAAAGAUUCGCCCGUUGGAAAAAGAACUCCCGAUUGCCUCACUUUUCAUAAACUGCAAGAGUCUCAUGCCAGUGGGAAGGGCACAGGAAUUCGGGCAGAGGGCAUGUGGGAGUGGAAAGGAUGGCAAAAUGGAGAAAAUGUGCAAAGAGAAGGAUUUUCGCUCCAGCCCACUUCCUGGACAUGGAGUCACAUACAGCCUGAGCUGGCCUGGACCUCAUUAGCUACCAGAGAUAGCCUUAAACUUGUGAUCUUCCUGUCUCUGCCAUUGUGCCCCCUAGUACUGGGAUUAUGAGCAAGCCUCGCCAUCAGGCCUAGCUUGGCCUCUAUAGAAAAUAGGUUCGGUAGCCCGAGGCUAAUUCUAGCUGAAGCAAGAGAACCACGAAUCGGAGGCCAGCCUGGAAUGCAUGCCAAGAUCUUUUAAUUUAAAAUAAUAAUAACGGUGCUUGAAGUUCCCAAUUUCUUAAGCUAAAAAAUGUAAAUUUUUCUCUCUACCCAUAGUGUAAUAUUUCUCCAAUUUUCUCAAAUAUCAGCCUAAUGAUGUUUUCUCCGCC